CGUGUGUGAAGAAGGCCUUCGGGUUGUAAAGUACUUUCAGCUGGGAGGAAGGGAGUUAAGUUAAUACCUUUGCUCUUUGACGUUACCCGCAGAAUAAGCACCGGCUAACUCCGUGCCAGCAGCCGCGGUAAUACAGAGGGUGCAAGCGUUAAUCGGAAUUACUGGGCGUAAAGCGCACGUAGGCGGUUUGUUAAGUUGGAUGUGAAAUCCCCGGGCUCAACCUGGGAACUGCAUCUGAUACUGGCAAGCUUGAGUCUCGUAGAGGGGGGUGGAAUUCCAGGUGUAGCGGUGAAAUGCGUAGAGAUCUGGAGGAAUACCGGUGGCGAAGGCGGCCCCCUGGACGAAUACUGACGCUCAGGUGCGAAAGCGUGGGGAGCAAACAGGAUUAGAUACCCUGGUAGUCCACGCCGUAAACGAUGUCGACUUGGAGGUUGAGCCCUUGAGGCUUGGCUGCCGGAGCUAACGCGUUAAGUCGACCGCCUGGGGAGUACGGCCGCAAGGUUAAAACUCAAAUGAAUUGACGGGGGCCCGCACAAGCGGUGGAGCAUGUGGUUUAAUUCGAUGCAACGCGAAGAACCUUACCUGGUCUUGACAUCCACAGAAGUUUCCAGAGAUGAAAUAGGUGCCUUCGGGAACUCUGACACAGGUGCUGCAUGGGC
rnacentral:rRNA from 4 species